UGGUUCUGGCAUCGAUGAAGAACGCAGCGAAAUGCGAUAAGUAAUGUGAAUUGCAGAAUUUAGUGAAUCAUCGAAUCUUUGAACGCACAUUGCGCCCUUUGGUAUUCCGAAGGGCACAUCUGUUCGAGCGUCAUUACACCAAAUCAAGUUUAACUUGUUAAUUGAAUAAUUGUUUUCCCUUGAAAACAUAUUCCAAAGCUAUUUAGCAGCAUCAAUUUGAUCUCAAGCGUAAUUGAUACACAAAAUCGUUUGUCAGGUCUUUUUGGCACUUGCUUUAAAACCCAUAAUUUUAAAGGUUGACCUCGAAUCAGAUGGGGAUACCCGCUGA
rnacentral:misc_RNA from 1 species